AUACGGAGGAUCCGAGCGUUAUCCGGAUUUAUUGGGUUUAAAGGGUGCGCAGGCGGGAUGUUAAGUCGGCGGUGAAAUUCUGCAGCUCAACUGUAAAAGUGCCUUCGAUACUGGCUUCCUUGAGUGUGGAUGAAGUAGGCGGAAUUUGUGGUGUAGCGGUGAAAUGCUUAGAUAUCACGAGGAACUCCGAUUGCGCAGGCAGCUUACUAAACCACUACUGACACUGAAGCACGAAAGCGGGGGGAUC
rnacentral:rRNA from 1 species